AUAAUUCUCACCAGAGAAGAAACACAGCAUUUCGGCUGGUGUCGCUGCUCCAGGGAAAGUUCUGUUACUCCACUGACUCUCUCUUUUCCUGAUAACAUGGCCAGCAAGAAAGUAAUUACAGUGUUUGGAGCAACAGGGGAAGCUGGUGGCAGACUCCGCCAAGCACCUGGGUCUGAAGCACGUGGUGUACAGCGGCCUGGAGAACGUCAAGCGACUGACGGAUGGCAAGCUGGAGGUGCCGCACUUUGACAGCAAGGGCGAGGUGGAGGAGUACUUCUGGUCCAUUGGCAUCCCCAUGACCAGUGUCCGCGUGGCGGCCUACUUUGAAAACUUUCUCGCGGCGUGGCGGCCCGUGAAAGCCUCUGAUGGAGAUUACUACACCUUGGCUGUACCGAUGGGAGAUGUACCAAUGGAUGGUAUCUCUGUUGCUGAUAUUGGAGCAGCCGUCUCUAGCAUUUUUAAUUCUCCAGAGGAAUUUUUAGGCAAGGCCGUGGGGCUCAGUGCAGAAGCACUAACAAUACAGCAAUAUGCUGAUGUUUUGUCCAAGGUUUUGGGGAAAGAAGUCCGAGAUGCAAAGAUUACCCCGGAAGCUUUCGAGAAGCUGGGAUUCCCUGCAGCAAAGGAAAUAGCCAAUAUGUGUCGUUUCUAUGAAAUGAAGCCAGACCGAGAUGUCAAUCUCACCCACCAACUAAAUCCCAAAGUCAAAAGCUUCAGCCAGUUUAUCUCAGAGAACCAGGGAGCCUUCAAGGGCAUGUAGAAAAUCAGCUGUUCAGAUAGGCCUCUGCACCACACAGCCUCUUUCCUCUCUGAUCCUUUUCCUCUUUACGGCACAACAUUCAUGUUGACAGAACAUGCUGGAAUGCAAUUGUUUGCAACACCGAAGGAUUUCCUGCGGUCGCCUCUUCAGUAGGAAGCACUGCAUUGGUGAUAGAACACGGUAAUUUGAUUCACAUUUAACUUGCUAGUUAGUGAUAAGGGUGGUACACCUGUUUGGUAAAAUGAGAAGCCUCGGAACUUGGAGCUUCUCUCCUACCACUAAUGGGAGGGCAGAUUAUACUGGGAUUUCUCCUGGGUGAGUAAUUUCAAGCCCUAAUGCUGAAAUUCCCCUAGGCAGCUCCAGUUUUCUCAACUGCAUUGCAAAAUUCCCAGUGAACUUUUAAGUACUUUUAACUUAAAAAAAUGAACAUCUUUGUAGAGAAUUUUCUGGGGAACAUGGUGUUCAAUGAACAAGCACAAGCAUUGGAAAUGCUAAAAUUCAGUUUUGCCUCAAGAUUGGAAGUUUAUUUUCUGACUCAUUCAUGAAGUCAUCUAUUGAGCCACCAUUCAAUUAUUCAUCUAUUAAUUCCUUGAUCCUUCAUUUAUCCAUUCUGCAAACUUUUCUUGAGCACCAGCACGGGUGGCCAUUUGUGGACUUCUCUUCAUUCCUAUGUGUUUUCUUAUCAAAGUGAUCCACUCUCGAAAGGCUCCUUUCCAGUCUGUGGUUGGGUUCAAGUCAUGCCAGGGCCAGGGGGCCCAUCUCCUCGUUUAGCUCUAGGCAAAAUCCAGGGGAUCUGCAGUGGGGAGCGGGGGCAGGAAGCUGGAGGGAAGGCCUGUGAAGGGUAGGGAUGUGGAAAGACAAGGUGACAGAAGGACCCAAUAGGACCUUUCUAUAUCUCUGGCUUAGCAUUUUCUACAUCAUAUUGUAAUCGUCUUAUUUGCUAGUUUUCUUCCUUACUGUGAGUGACUAACAGUCAUCUUUAUCCCAGUGCCUGGUACAUAAUAAGUGAUCAAUAAAUGUUGAUUGACUAAAUGAGUAAA